rnacentral:tRNA from 1 species
UGCAAAGUGGCCGAGUUUAUAGGCGGUAGAUUGUAAAUCUAUUAACAAGUUUAACUUCUUUGUUAG